GAUGAACGCUAGCUACAGGCUUAACACAUGCAAGUCGAGGGGCAUCAGGAAGAAAGCUUGCUUUCUUUGCUGGCGACCGGCGCACGGGUGAGUAACACGUAUCCAACCUGCCCUUUACUCGGGGAUAGCCUUUCGAAAGAAAGAUUAAUACCCGAUAGUAUAAUGAUUCCGCAUGGUUUGAUUAUUAAAGGAUUCCGGUAAAGGAUGGGGAUGCGUUCCAUUAGGUUGUUGGUGAGGUAACGGCUCACCAAGCCUUCGAUGGAUAGGGGUUCUGAGAGGAAGGUCCCCCACAUUGGAACUGAGACACGGUCCAAACUCCUACGGGAGGCAGCAGUGAGGAAUAUUGGUCAAUGGGCGGUAGCCUGAACCAGCCAAGUAGCGUGAAGGAUGAAGGCUCUAUGGGUCGUAAACUUCUUUUAUAUAAGAAUAAAGUGCAGUAUGUAUACUGUUUUGUAUGUAUUAUAUGAAUAAGGAUCGGCUAACUCCGUGCCAGCAGCCGCGGUAAUACGGAGGAUCCGAGCGUUAUCCGGAUUUAUUGGGUUUAAAGGGAGCGUAGGUGGACUGGUAAGUCAGUUGUGAAAGUUUGCGGCUCAACCGUAAAAUUGCAGUUGAUACUGUCAGUCUUGAGUACAGUAGAGGUGGGCGGAAUUCGUGGUGUAGCGGUGAAAUGCUUAGAUAUCACGAAGAACUCCGAUUGCGAAGGCAGCUCACUGGACUGCAACUGACACUGAUGCUCGAAAGUGUGGGUAUCAAACAGGAUUAGAUACCCUGGUAGUCCACACAGUAAACGAUGAAUACUCGCUGUUUGCGAUAUACAGUAAGCGGCCAAGCGAAAGCAUUAAGUAUUCCACCUGGGGAGUACGCCGGCAACGGUGAAACUCAAAGGAAUUGACGGGGGCCCGCACAAGCGGAGGAGCAUGUGGUUUAAUUCGAUGAUACGCGAGGAACCUUACCCGGGCUUAAAUUGCAGUGGAAUGAUGUGGAAACAUGUCAGUGAGCAAUCACCGCUGUGAAGGUGCUGCAUGGUUGUCGUCAGCUCGUGCCGUGAGGUGUCGGCUUAAGUGCCAUAACGAGCGCAACCCUUAUCUUUAGUUACUAACAGGUUAUGCUGAGGACUCUAGAGAGACUGCCGUCGUAAGAUGUGAGGAAGGUGGGGAUGACGUCAAAUCAGCACGGCCCUUACGUCCGGGGCUACACACGUGUUACAAUGGGGGGUACAGAAGGCAGCUAGCGGGUGACCGUAUGCUAAUCCCAAAAUCCUCUCUCAGUUCGGAUCGAAGUCUGCAACCCGACUUCGUGAAGCUGGAUUCGCUAGUAAUCGCGCAUCAGCCACGGCGCGGUGAAUACGUUCCCGGGCCU
rnacentral:rRNA from 1 species